CACAGUUUUCUUAAAACAUACUUUAAGUCACUUAGAACUUGGCUUUUAUUCUGUUUUUCAACUUAAAAUUCCUCUUGAUGUCCCUCAACUUUUUAGCCUGAUUUUCAUGGCAUUUGAGAAAAUAUGGAGGUGAGUGUUGAUUUUAGAUUUUUAGACUGAAAUAAACUUUUCCUUUAAAAAGGGAGAGGGCACCCUAAAUUUGGAACACAGGUCAAGGAUGCUUGGAGUACUCUGUACUGCGGGUAUGGGCUCUCUCCAGCAGUGACAACUCAGCAUCUCUCUAGUGGCCACUGCUUUUGCUUCCUAAACAUGCUGUUUUGAGUAGCCUCACCUUACAAAUAGAUUUGCAGAACAGGAAGAAGAUUCUUGAAAGGGAAGAUUGUGAUGAAACCGAUAAAAAUCUCUGUAUUAAAAUCUUGUACAGCCUUCUGUUUUAAUAUCUUUUCUUCUGGAUGAGACAUUAGUCUUUAACUUUUGAGGAACUCUGUAACUGAAGACAAACAAUAAAAUACCAACAGAGAGGAAAUUAUUAAAGGAUUAUAUGUAUUUAAAUUACUUUUAUCAGUAACCCACUCUAGCCUCAGAAGGUAUAAAGCUAACGGAGAAGGGGACAUUUAAAACCAAUGUAUUUUUAUUCUGUAAAUCUUUAACUUAAAAUAGUAUUUUGAAUUCAAGGUUGUCUGAUAUUUAAAUCAGUUAUUAUCUCGAUGACCACAUAUCAAUAGAUUGGAAGUAUAUUUCUGUUUUGUGAUAAAUCCAUGAAUUUGCUUUUUGGGGAAAAAGCUAUUAUAAACAUGUUAUUUUAAGGCUAAACCUAGGAUGGGUCUUAGUGAGAAUCAGCCUAAAUGAAAAUUUUCCAAACAAAUACAUUCUGCUUUUGCUAAAUCCUAUGCUAAUAAAAGACAUUGUGCUUCUUAUAAAACUUUGACCCACAUUAUGUAGCCUAACAGAAAUAAAGGCAUCUGCUACCCUCUAUGAAUUUACUAUUGGAGUCUACCAGUCCCUAAUACAAAUAGGAAAAGAAUGCUCCCAAUAAAAGA
rnacentral:lncRNA from 1 species